rnacentral:rRNA from 1 species
AUUGAACGCUGGCGGCAGGCCUAACACAUGCAAGUCGAGCGAGCGGCGGACGGGUGAGUAAUGUCUGGGAAACUGCCUGAUGGAGGGGGAUAACUACUGGAAACGGUAGCUAAUACCGCAUACCAUCAGAUGUGCACAGAUGGGAUUAGCUAGUAGGUGGGGUAACGGCUCACCUAGGCGACGAACCCUAGCUGGUCUGAGAGGAUGACCAGCAACACUGGAACUGAGAAACGGCCCAGACUCCUACGGGGGGAGGAAGUGGGGAAUAUUGCACAAGGGGCGCAGGCCUGAUACAGCCAGGCCGCGUGUGUGAAGAGGGCUUUGGGGUUGUAAAGCACGUUCAGCGGGGAGGCGUUACCCGCAGAAGAAGCACCGGCUAACUCCGUGCCAGCAGCCGCGGUAAUAC